rnacentral:rRNA from 1 species
CGGCGAACGGGUGAGUAACACGUGAGUAAUCUGCCCCCUACUUUGGGAUAAGCCUCGGAAACGGGGUCUAAUACCGGAUAUGACUGACGGCUGCAUGGUUGUUGGUGGAAAGUUUUUUCGGUGGGGGAUGUGCUCGCGGCCUAUCAGCUUGUUGGUGGGGUAAUGGCCUACCAAGGCUUCGACGGGUAGCCGGCCUGAGAGGGUGACCGGCCACACUGGGACUGAGACACGGCCCAG